CAAAGGCCAAGGCUCCCUGCUGGUGCUUCGUAUGUUGCAAGUGCACGAUAUCAGGUGUACGACUACUGUCGGGAGGUUCAAAAGGUUCAUAUAUGUGGAUGAGGAACAUGGAUUGGAUGCCUUCAUGCUAUAGCCAUGUGUGGGCAAUGCCUGACCUGGAGCAUAGACCAAAUGCGUGCUUUGGGUCUUCCCAGUUCCACAGAGGUCUGCAACAUUUUCCUCUGCAACAGAGGAAAUCUGUGCAGAGUACAUUUUGAACAAUUCUCUGCUGCUGUGCUUGAGGGCCAGCAUACAAAGAGAUGCCUGUGCUCCUGAAUGGCUUCAAGAGGUGAAAUCCAGGGAUUCCACCCAGUCUGCUCAAAGCGAGGGCAGACACCAGCAUGGUUCUCAGCCCAGAGGUCGUUCCUACGUGUUGUGGAGAAACAUAUCCUAAGUGAGUACUUUUAGUAAAAUAUGACACUGGAUGCUUCUGAAAAGGUAAUUGUUCCCAGAAAAGACCCACAGACUCAGCCAGUGACAUGCCUCAGUGUGUAAAGGACCUUGACAACAAACAACAUGCUGUGUUUGACACCCAGGACCUGCACGGUAAAGGACUCAUACAAGUUGUUCUCUGAUCUCCACACAGCAGCUUGGAACAUAUAUGAGCAUGAGUGUGUACACUCAUACAAAUAGAUAAAUAAACUAUAAUUAGAAAACGA
rnacentral:sRNA from 1 species